rnacentral:rRNA from 1 species
UACGGGGGGGGCAAGCGUUGUUCGGAAUUACUGGGCGUAAAGGGCUCGUAGGCGGCCAACUAAGUCAGACGUGAAAUCCCCAGGCUCAACCUGGGAACUGCGUCUGAUACUGGAUGGCUUGAAUCCGGGAGAGGGAUGCAGAAUUCCAGGUGUAGCGGUGAAAUGCGUAGAUAUCUGGAGGAAUACCGGUGGCGAAGGCGGCAUCCUGGACCGGCAUUGACGCUGAACAGCGAAAGCUAGGGGAGCAAACGGG